rnacentral:rRNA from 1 species
GUAGGUGGCAAGCGUUGUCCGGAAUUAUUGGGCGUAAAGCGCGCGCAGGCGGUUCUUUAAGUCUGAUGUGAAAGCCCACGGGCUCAACCGUGGAGGGUCAUUGGAAACUGGAGAACUUGAGUACAGAAGAGGAAAGCGGAAUUCCACGUGUAGCGGUGAAAUGCGUAGAGAUGUGGAGGAACACCAGUGGCGAAGGCGGCUUUCUGGUCUGUAACUGACGCUGAGGCGCGAAAGCGUGGGGAGCAAACAGGAUUAGAUACCCUGGUAGUCCACGCCGUAAACGAUGAGUGCUAAGUGUUAGGGGGUUUCCGCCCCUUAGUGCUGCAGCUAACGCAUUAAGCACUCCGCCUGGGGAGUACGACCGCAAAGGUUGA